CAGUCAAUCCUACUCUUUUUGUAACUACUCCCUCAUUUUUUGUCCUUAUUUUCAGCACGUGUUGUUUGUACUACUCUCACUCUCCUAAAAUUUAUUGUUUUUUCCAUUAAUUAAUUCAUCUAGAAAACACAAAACCUUCAUCUUCUCAUCCUCUAUCUUGAAUCUUCACACAUAUAUCCUGUGGAAAAUACCAUAGAAAAAUCUCUUUCCAAUCUUGUGUGAAACAGCACAGCACUACUCUUUUCCAUCUUUCUUGCUUCAUUAUUCAUUAAUGGCUGCAAAAAGACUGCCCAGUAACAAACACUUGUAAUAUUAGUGAGGAGAAAAAUACAUGAACUUUCGUUUGAAGAAUAUGAUACUAGCUAGUAAGCUUAUUCAUAUAGAGCUUGAGAAAAUGGAGAUUCAUUACCAAUUUCCUAUGGUUACCACCGGCCAUUAUCGGCACCGGCCGGCGAGCCACCGUUUGCCGCUCCCGGAGCUUAUUCAGGUUCUUUUACUUUUUCUGUUUUUGUUUUCCUCUGUUCUAAUUUCCUAUUCGAAUGUCUAUUUUGUUCAUGAAAUUAUAGUCCUGUAAAAUUGUUAUUGGGAAAUUAACGAAAAAAUAGACAACGCUUCUUUCUCUUAUUUUUUUCCCCUUCACAUUUUGAAAUCAUUUUUUGCUUGGCAAUCUUACAGGAAAAUUGAUUCAGAAACAGAGGAACUGUUAAUUUGAUUCAGCUAAAUAGAAAAUAUAACGGUGUGAUCGUGAAACUUACUCCUGAAUAUGUCGGAACUAUAUAGAAACUUAGGGGUUUACUAAUUUUUUAAAUUUAUAUGUGAAAAAACCAUAGUUCCAUAUGUGAUGAAUUCUCAAUAUCUAUUGUGAAAAAUUAAAGUAUCAAGUUAAUCUUCAAUGAUUUGCAUUUUGAGUAUCUAUUUUGACAAAAUUAUCUAAAAUUCUAGAUUCUUAUGCGCUUUUACAAUACGUGUCUUACUUAUAUCUGACGUUGACGACAGAAGAUUUCGAACAACUUAUUCUCUCUUAUUGAGACCUAUUUGGAUGAGAUUGAUAUUCAAGAAGUAGAUGAAAUACCCUCUUCAAUCCAAAGUUUGUCUCUAAAUUUCAUCAACUUGAAAUUGUUGCAAAUCUCCUUUGAGUUUUUUCAAGAAACAUCAACUUGAAAUUGUGGGCAAAAUCCGUUCUUCUUGUUCUUUCAAGUUAUGUUAAUUUUGGGGCAUAACUUUCUAGACAUUUUUCUCAUUUGAUCAGUCACAAAAUCAACUGAAUAGUACGUAAUUAGCUUCUUCAUUCAAACUUUUGCUAAAAGUCCGAGUCAUGAAUAAGAAUAACUUAUACUCAUCCUGUAGAGAUUUUGAAUAAAUGCUAAGUGAUAUUAUUCAAACGUUAUUCUUUAAAAAUUGUAACAAUGUGACCCUUAGAAUAUGAAUCUUACUCCUGAACCUCGGUACUAUUAAUUUAAAUAUUAAGUUUAUAUGUGACAUAGUUCUAUUGUGAUGAAUUCUCAAUACCGAUUGUGAGAAAUGUAUCAAAUUGAUCUUUAAGUGUAUCGAUUUUGACAAAACUGUCAAACUUAUCUCAAAAUUUAAAUUUUUAUUUAAUUUAUUUUAUAACACGUGUCUCACUUAUAUCUGACGUCAACUGCAUGCAGAUUAUGAAUAACUUACUCUCUCUUAUUGACACCUAUUUGGAUGAAGUUGAUGUUCAAGAAAAGUACAUGAAAUACCCUCUUCAACUGAGGAAAUAUACUAGAUUUGUCUCCCAACUUGAUAAGUUGAAAUUCUUCAGUAUGUAAUUACACAUUUUUUCAUUUGUUCAGUAUGUAAUUAGCUUAUUCAUUCAAACAUUUGGUUGUGGCUAUUUGAUAAUAUCAGACUGUUUAACCAAAGUAUUCUCUUGUUUUGUGCCAAAACUUGAAUAAAGAGGAGGUCACCAUAUAUGUUCAAUGCACUCCAUUACAAAAUUGACAUUAGAU
rnacentral:lncRNA from 1 species